rnacentral:rRNA from 1 species
GACGAACGCUGGCGGCGUGCCUAAUACAUGCAAGUCGAACGCUGCUUGAGAAGAAACUUCGGUUUUUUCUUAAGCGGAGUGGCGGACGGGUGAGUAACACGUGGGGAACCUAUCCAUCAGCGGGGGAUAACACUUGGAAACAGGUGCUAAUACCGCAUACGGCUUUUUUUCACCUGAAAGAAAGCUCAAAGGCGCUUUACAGCGUCACUGAUGGCUGGUCCCGCGGUGCAUUAGCCAGUUGGUGAGGUAACGGCUCACCAAAGCAACGAUGCAUAGCCGACCUGAGAGGGUGAUCGGCCACACUGGGACUGAGACACGGCCCAGACUCCUACGGGAGGCAGCAGUAGGGAAUCUUCGGCAAUGGACGCAAGUCUGACCGAGCAACGCCGCGUGAGCGAAGAAGGUCUUCGGAUCGUAAAGCUCUGUUGUCAGCAAAGAACAGGAGAAAGAGGAAAUGCUUUUUCUAUGACGGUAGCUGACCAGAAAGCCACGGCUAACUACGUGCCAGCAGCCGCGGUAAUACGUAGGUGGCAAGCGUUGUCCGGAUUUAUUGGGCGUAAAGCGAGCGCAGGCGGUGAUUUAAGUCUGAUGUGAAAGCCCCCAGCUCAACUGGGGAGGGUCAUUGGAAACUGGAUCACUUGAGUGCAGAAGAGGAGAGUGGAAUUCCAUGUGUAGCGGUGAAAUGCGUAGAUAUAUGGAGGAACACCAGUGGCGAAGGCGGCUCUCUGGUCUGUAACUGACGCUGAGGCUCGAAAGCGUGGGUAGCAAACAGGAUUAGAUACCCUGGUAGUCCACGCCGUAAACGAUGAGUGCUAAGUGUUGGAGGGUUUCCGCCCUUCAGUGCUGCAGUUAACGCAUUAAGCACUCCGCCUGGGGAGUACGACCGCAAGGUUGAAACUCAAAGGAAUUGACGGGGGCCCGCACAAG